GACAGCAUGGCGUAGUGGUUUGAGUGUUGGGCUAUGACUCUAGAGAUCAGGGUUCGAUUCCCUGCCUCGGCU